rnacentral:rRNA from 1 species
UACGUAGGGUGCGAGCGUUGUCCGGAAUUAUUGGGCGUAAAGGGCUCGUAGGCGGUUUGUCGCGUCGGGAGUGAAAACCAGGUGCUUAACACCUGGCUUGCUUUCGAUACGGGCAGACUAGAGGUAUUCAGGGGAGAACGGAAUUCCUGGUGUAGCGGUGAAAUGCGCAGAUAUCAGGAGGAACACCGGUGGCGAAGGCGGCAUCCUGGACCGACACUGACACUGAGGAGCGAAAGCCAGGGGAGCAAACGGG